rnacentral:ncRNA from 1 species
AUAUUUGAGAGUUUGAUCCUGGCUCAGAACGAACGCUGGCGGCGUGCCUAACACAUGCAAGUCGGACGGGUACUGAUGGAGUAGCAAUACUU